rnacentral:misc_RNA from 1 species
UUGAUAAUGUUGGCUCCUGAACAACUUGACUUCUUGUUAAUUUUUCAUUAAUAAUUUUUUAAUCUGCAGAUAAGUAAGAUUAGGUUGCUCUUGGGUAUUAAGUUUGUCCUUUACAGGCAAAAUUUUGAUCAAAUCGGCUGGUUUUAACUAAUUUGUUUUCUCCCUGUAAAAUAAUUUAUGUGCAGCCUGGUCCGGAUUCCAUUGGA